rnacentral:rRNA from 1 species
CCACGAUAAAUCUUACCACUUCUUGCAUAGUCAAGUUUUAUUAAUAUUUAGUUAGUAUUCUAACUUAUUAACUGUAAUAUUUAUAUAUUGAUUACAGGUGUUGCAUGGCUGUCUUUAGUUCGUGUUGUGAAAUGUUAGGUUAAUUCCGAAAACGAACGCAAACCUUAUCCUUAAUUAUUUAUUCCUUAAUUGUUUUCUUAAAAAAAAAAGUUAAGUUAUUUAUUAAGGAAAUGUCUAUCGAUUUUAUAAAAUAACUAGGAUGAAAACAAGUCCUCAUGACCCUUAUGAAGUGGGCUACAGACGUGCUGNCAAAAGUUUCUACAAUGGGAUGCAAAGAUUAAAAUCAGAGCUAAUCCUUAA